AGCGUAGGCUGUCUGGUAAGCGUGUUGUGAAAUGUAGGCGCUCAACGUCUGAAUUGCAGCGCGAACUACCGGACUUGAGUGCGCAGGAAGUAGGCGGAAUUUGUGGUGUAGCGGUGAAAUGCUUAGAUAUCACGAAGAACUCCGAUUGCGAAGGCAGCUUACUGUAGCGUUACUGACGCUGAAGUUCGAAAGCGCGGGUAUCGAACAGGAUUAGAUACCCUGGUAGUCCGCACGGUAAACGAUGGAUGCCCGCUGUUGGUCUGAACAGGUCAGCGGCCAAGCGAAAGCAUUAAGCAUCCCACCUGGGGAGUACGCCGGCAACGGUGAAACUCAAAGGAAUUGACGGGGGCCCGCACAAGCGGAGGAACAUGUGGUUUAAUUCGAAGCAACGCGAAGAACCUUACCUAGACUUGACAUCUCCUGCAUUACUCUUAAUCGAGGAAGUCCCUUCGGGGACAGGAUGACAGGUGGUGCAUGGUUGUCGUCAGCUCGUGUCGUGAGAUGUUGGGUUAAGUCCCGCAACGAGCGCAACCCUUAUUGUUAGUUGCCAUCAUUAAGUUGGGCACUCUAAUGAGACUGCCGGUGACAAACCGGAGGAAGGUGGGGAUGACGUCAAGUCAUCAUGCCCCUUAUGACUAGGGCUACACACGUAAUACAAUGGCGGUCAACAAAGGGAUGCAAAGCCGCGAGGCAGAGCGAACCCCAAAAAGCCGUCCCAGUUCGGAUCGCAGGCUGCAACCCGCCUGCGUGAAGUCGGAAUCGCUAGUA
rnacentral:rRNA from 1 species